ACAUGCAAGUCGAACGAGAAAUUCCGAUUCGUCGGGAGAGUAAAGUGGCGAACGGGUGAGUAACGUGAGGGUAAUCUUCCCUUAAAUUAGGAAUAACCUUGCGAAAGCGAAGCUAAUUCCUGAUAAGACUACGAUCUGUUAGCAGAUAGUAGUAAAAGAUGGCCUCUGUUUUAAGCUAUUGUUUAAGGAUGAGCCCUCAUACUAUUAGCUAGUUGGUGAGGUAAUGGCUCACCAAGGCGACGAUUGUUAGCUGGUCUAAGAGGAUGGCCAGCCACACUGGAACUGAAACACGGUCCAAACUCCUACGGGAGGCAGCAGUGAGGAAUAUUGCGCGAUGGGGGAAACCCUGACGCAGUGACGCCGCGUGAGUGAUGAAGGCCUUCGGGUUGUAAAGCUCUGUUAAGUGGAAAGAACCAUUCUAGUGAUAAUACCACUGGAAUCUGACGGUACCACUAGAGGAAGCACCGGGCUAACUCCGUGCCAGCAGCCGCGGUAAUACCGGAUGGUGCAAGCGUUGUGCGGAAUUAUUGGGCGUAAAGAGCGUGUAGGCGGUUAGACAAGUCAGAUGUGAAAUCCCUUAGCUCAACUGAGGAAGUGCGUUUGAAACUGUCUGACUAGAGUACAGGAGAGGAAAGUGGAAUUCCCAGUGUAGAGGUGAAAUUCAUAGAUUUUGGGGAGGAACACCGGUGGCGAAGGCGGGUUUCUGGCCUGAUACUGACGCU
rnacentral:rRNA from 1 species